UACAGAGGUCCCGAGCGUUGUUCGGAUUCACUGGGCGUAAAGGGUGCGUAGGUGGCAUGGUAAGUUUGAUGUGAAAGCUCAGGGCUUAACCCUGAAAUGGCAUUGAAUACUACUGUGCUGGAGGUUUGGAGGGGGGACUGGAAUUCUUGGUGUAGCAGUGAAAUGCGUAGAUAUCAAGAGGAACACCAGUGGCGAAGGCGAGUCCCUGGACAACACCUGACACUGAGGCACGAAAGCCGGGGGAGCAAACAGG
rnacentral:rRNA from 1 species